CAAUUGGCGCCAAUUGAAUGCAGCAGGCAGCAGCUUGGCACAUGCAUUGAUAGGAGAGCGGAUAUCUAUCAUACCAAGGACUUCCUGUAGCUCAGGAAACUACAGAUGAGCCACAGGGCCUCCAGGUCAGUGUUCUAGGGGUCAGCUGCUGCUGUAAACAACGGAUGCCCACUCUUCCCUCCUGUCCUGCAAUUCUCUUUUCAGCAUAACCCAGAUAGCAAACGUGCACGCUCUCUGAGUGCUGUGGAUACAGAGCCACCUCGAAUGCCUCCACUCAGCUCAUCCAAAACAACACACGUGCUGCCCUCUGCAGGCUGGCUACACAAACCAAUGACUGACCUCUCAAUCAGAGAACUUCAACCACUCCUGAAAAACAUACAGGGGAAGAGUAUGAGCUAUUCAUUUCUUAUGUAUUUUAGUUUUGGUUCUUUAAUAGGACUGUCCAAAUCAGUUAACCAGUGCAUGUACAGUAUUAUUAUAAUGACGCACUGCAAAGUGAUCAUCUGAUGAUUUAUCACCCCAGUGUUGAUCUGCUAAAUUGUAAUUACUCGCUCCUAUG